GCGGGCAGGAAGGUACCUGGAGAGCAAGCUGCUGCUGCUCCGCAUCCGCUGCGACAGCCUGGCAGACAUGGAGGCCCUGCCGCAGUCUUGGGAGAGGAUUUUGGCGCGCUACAAGGAAGACGUCGUUCAAGAUACGCUUCUUAAGAUCUCUCUGUUUGUGGACAACCAGCGAGAGCUGUGCUGCUCACCAGGCUCCUGAUGGAGAACAGGAGGGACUGGCGUCGACCGCCUUCUGCGAGAGUCUGGUAUGUUCUGAGGUGACCACAAAGAGGAUGAUGAAUUGAGGACGCUUUACUGGUGCUUUUUGGAAGCUGAAUGAGUUGGGUACUUGGCCUCAGUAGGAAAUGCUUGGACUGUUUCAUUUUCAAGUGGAAAUGGACUUGGCGUCUGAAGAAGAGGCUGAGCUGAACAAGCUGUGGAAAUUGUCCUUUCUUUUGCCUGCCAUGGAUGUUUUGUAUACUGAAAAAAAUGUUGAGACUUACUAACUUGAGGUGCACUGCAAAUAAGUGAGCGUAACAUAAAAUCCAGCAGGCUGAUACCUGUACAUGUAAGGAGGAUGCAUAGGUACCGUCCUUACAAAUAAAUAAAAGAUGUCAAAUCAGGGCUUGAAAACAGUUUGCACCUUGUGCCUCUCAGCAAUGUGUUUGCUUUCAUCCACCUGUACAUUGAAGAAGAAGGAGCAAAUUUGGCUUGGAAAUGUAAUUAUGGAGGUACAGAACCCUGAGGUCUGACACAGGCAGUUUUCAAGUGUGUUAGAGUACGCUCUUCUGAUAUCUCUGCUAGGGCAUGUUUAAAUCAAAGUCUUAAAACUUCGUGCUCUGUGGCCACAGCAGCUCCUGACAGUUCUGGGGACAUCUUUUGUUGGCCAUGACACCAAUCCUCUGUAAUGUUCCUGGAAAGUGGUGGGGUGCCUGUUGUUAAAUAACAUUUGGUACGAAACUGUAGCUUCUCAGAGAAGGCCAAAUAAAGAGUUGUACUUGGAUGGAUUUUAGAUGUGCUUGUGCUCCCUGUUUUUACGGUGAAGCAGGUCUCAAACCCGGGGAGUCCAUCUGACCACCUGAGGGCACUGCUCGACCUGUGGAGAGCC
rnacentral:lncRNA from 1 species